UCGCCCAUUUCUUUGUCUCUUGUAGGAUUUUGUGGAGCCACUCGACAGAUGAGAAUCUCAUUUCGAGGCUCCUCAGAAGGCGAACUGCACCCCCUCCCUCAAGCCUCUUCUCCAGUCUCAUGGUUUUCAUGACCACUAGGGGAAGACGACGAAUUCCAAGGUGCUGUUGUAGGCAUGCAGUGGUAUGGUGUACAGAAUGGGACACAGGUACAUGCCUGGGAAGGUGGCCAGUUAAAGCCCCUGAGGUGAAACCUGAAUGAUGUGAAGAGGUCAUGUGGAGUGAGAACAUUCUACUGAGACAGAGGUAACAGCCAGUGCAAAGGCCCUGGGGCAGAAUGAAGGCCUGAUAUGUUCGACAGGUUUAUAGUUUGUUGCUCUAUGUAGAGCAAAUUACAAGGGCUCAAGCGUGGACGUUGGGAGACUGGUUAGGUUAUUGCUAAGGUCCAG
rnacentral:lncRNA from 1 species